rnacentral:rRNA from 1 species
UAGGGAAUCUUCCACAAUGGGCGCAAGCCUGAUGGAGCAACACCGCGUGAGUGAAGAAGGGUUUCGGCUCGUAAAGCUCUGUUGUUAAAGAAGAACACGUAUGAGAGUAACUGUUCAUACGUUGACGGUAUUUAACCAGAAAGUCACGGCUAACUACGUGCCAGCAGCCGCGGUAAUACGUAGGUGGCAAGCGUUAUCCGGAUUUAUUGGGCGUAAAGAGAGUGCAGGCGGUUUUCUAAGUCUGAUGUGAAAGCCUUCGGCUUAACCGGAGAAGUGCAUCGGAGACUGGAUAACUUGAGUGCAGAAGAGGGUAGUGGAACUCCAUGUGUAGCGGUGGAAUGCGUAGAUAUAUGGAAGAACACCAGUGGCGAAGGCGGCUACCUGGUCUGCAACUGACGCUGAGACUCGAAAGCAUGGGUAGCGAACAGGAUUAGAUACCCUGGUAGUCCAUGCCGUAAACGAUGAGUGCUAGGUGUUGGAGGGUUUCCGCCCUUCAGUGCCGGAGCUAACGCAUUAAGCACUCCGCCUGGGGAGUACGACCGCAAGGUUG